CAGUCACACCGACCCCUGGGGCCUGGCGCACCCACUCACCGUGGACUAAAGGGCGGAGGUCAGGGCUGGGCGGAAGCCGAGCCGGGCUCCCGUCCAGCCGGCGGUGGAGGCGGGCGCUGAACCCCUGCUCCGGCGGGGCGCACCCGCCCCGCCUCCCGCGCAGACCCGCCGCGGUAGGAUCCGCGAGCGCAGGCGCUGGACUCCAAAGCUGGCCCAGCUGGCCGGCCGUGGUGGCGGCGGGGGUCAGCCGCCGGGGGGAGAGAGACCUUUCCCAGGGCGUGAAAGCCGGGGAGCGCUCCUUCCCUCCGAGGAAAAGGCUUUAGGGAUUGGGCCGCGCUGCAGAGGCUCCUUUCCUGGGGAGAACGGACACAGCCUGGGAUUCUGGGAUUCCGAGGGGAUCUGAGCUGCGGUUAUGGGAAAUUCUCUCCAAGAGGGGAAGCGGGGGCACUGCGCGCAGACCAGUCUGUGGCCCUGGGCGGCCGUGUCCCUCCUUCAGUGCCAGGAAGAGCGGGAGAUCAGAAGCAGGCAGAGAGGCAGGCAGAGAGAGAGAGGAGGAAGCAGGCUCCCCGCUGACCAGAGAGCCCAAUGCAGGGCUCGAUCCCAGGACCCCGGGAUCACGACCUGAGCCGAAGACAGAGGCUCAACCUACUGAGCCACCCAGGCGCCCCAAGGUGUGUUUUCUAGGCCGCAGAUGCGCGUGGACUCCACUGGGGAAGGGAAGUGUGCCCUCCGGGUGGGGCACCGGGACGCACCACUGUCUGGCUUUGUGUGGCCGUGCAGGAGAAGCGUGUGCAUGUGUGCGCGUGAGUGUGCGCGUGUGCGCGCACGUGGCAGGAAGCCCUGGAGGCGGCCCUGUGGAUUGAGGGGGAGGCCUGGCAGGACAGCCCCACCGUCGCCAGGAUUCCUUAGAAGUAAAAGGGAGGUUCUUUGUGCUGUGGCUUUCAGCCAGAGCGUCCCCACCCUGACGCCGUGGGGUCUGCUGAGAUCCAGCUCACCCGCACUCCCCACGCUGUGUUGGGGUUCACUCAAUGCCCUCCCCCCGGGUAGACUGCCCUGGACUCCGAGUCACUGGGCCUGAGGUGUUGGGGAUGAAAGGUCCUGUGUGGACACUACCCUGUGGCUCUCGCCCCGUGGUUCUAUGGAGAGGGCAGAGCUGCACAGGUGUCCUCGGGUGGCAGCAGGGACCCGCCACCACACCGGCUCCCUCGACCAGUGAGGCUGAAGGGGGGAGGGUGGGACUGGAGGCCCCUAAUGAAGGGGGUCCUAAGAGGGUGACCAGCCCGUCACUGCUCUCCUGAGCGGCUGCUUGUGGGACCGGUUUACCUGGCUCUGCCGUGGCUUCAAGCUCAGGGGUCCCACCUGCCUUGAGGAACGGCCUGGAGAGUAGCCCUGCCUGGGGAAGCCACUCUGGCAGCCCAGAGCACCACCUCUGGCUGGAUGUCCCACAUUUAAAGACUUUUAAGUAAUUUUAAAUAUUUUAAGUAAUCUCUACACCGAACAUGGGGCUGGAACUUAGAACCCCAAGACCAGGAGCACACGCUCUAAGCCAGCCAGACGCCCCGGACAUCUCCUGUUUGAAUGGUUCCUUCUGCCUACCAGCCUCCACGUGAGGCUGGGGAGCCGAGGUCACAUGCUGGGGCACCAGGAGGAUGCCCGGGGAGCUGUCCAGCAGCAAGAACCAGCCAUGGGGAGAGGGGCUGCUGCUCAGAGACUCAGGACUUUACUCUGAGGGUGUCCCAAAGGUGGCCCUCCAGCCACCGUGGCCACCUCCGGCCCCCAGAGCAGGCCUCACUGAGUCCAGUGUGCUGGCCUCGGGCGACCCCAUCUCCUGACAAGGAAGGAGGUGACAACCGCCCCCCUGGCACACUUUUGCCAAGAUGUGUCACCAGCAAACUGUUGUGGUUCGAGAGAGGAUGUGUUCUGGGGGAGCCUGGGGCUGAGGGCAGCCUGGGGAGGCGCCAUGCUCACAGGGAGGGGCCUGGGCUGGUGGGCGGCACUGUCCCCCCCGCAGUGCUGGAGCUGCCUGGGGGCAGACACGCCUGCAGACUUCAAGCAAAGGGAAGUCACGGUGCGCCCCAGCGGUCAAGGUCACUACAGAUGCUUUGAGAUGUUUUAUUGAAGUUUUUCUAAAAGAGCAAUAACUUAUGCCGCGAACCGAUAGAGCAAGACUGCGUCUUCCAUCCCCAGCUGUCGUCCCCAGGGGCGGCCUACGGACAGCGCUUGGGGUCCACCUGGGGAUAAGACAGCAGGGCCAGGGCUGGGGCCAGGACCCCAGUGGGAGGAGGCCGGCGCUGCUGGGGCAACCGCGGAGUCAGGAGCCGCUGCGAGCAGCUGGGGGCCCCGGG